rnacentral:rRNA from 1 species
CCUACGGGGGGCUGCAGUGGGGAAUAUUGCACAAUGGGGGAAACCCUGAUGCAGCGACGCCGCGUGAGUGAAGAAGUAAUUCGGUAUGUAAAGCUCUAUCAGCAGGGAAGAAAAUGACGGUACCUGAGUAAGAAGCCCCGGCUAACUACGUGCCAGCAGCCGCGGUAAUACGUAGGGGGCAAGCGUUAUCCGGAUUUACUGGGUGUAAAGGGAGCGUAGACGGCAGUGCAAGUCUGGAGUGAAAGGCGGGGGCUCAACCCACGGACUGCUCUGGAAACUGUACGGCUGGAGUGCAGGAGAGGUAAGUGGAAUUCCUAGUGUAGCGGUGAAAUGCGUAGAUAUUAGGAGGAACACCAGUGGCGAAGGCGGCUUACUGGACUGUAACUGACGUUGAGGCUCGAAAGCGUGGGGAGCAAACAGGAUUAGAUACCCCAGUAGUC